UUGGGGGGUCCCUUAACUAUAGAAGAAUGCACUAAAGCAAUAUUCAACAUGAAAUUAAAUAAAUCUCCAGGAAUAGAUGGGUUAAGCGUAGAAUUUUAUCGCACUUUUUGGAGUAAUUUAAAAGAAUUUACAGUUGAAGUUUUUAAUAAAUGCUAUGAUGACGGAGAACUAACAACUAUACAAAAGAUAGGUAUCAUCUCUUUAAUUUACAAAAAAAAAGACCCUUUGUCACUGGAUAAUUAUAGACCAAUUACGCUAUUAAAUGUAGACACUAAACUCAUUGCAUAUGCAAUAGCCCAGCGCUUAAAACCAAUACUGCUGAAAAUAAUUCAUGGAGAUCAAAAUGGGUAUAUCAAAAAUAGAUAUAUUGGUUUUAAUAUACGCCAAAUCCAAGACAUUAUAGACUAUGCUGAAACUUUUAACAUAGAUGGUGCAUUACUCUUUAUUGAUUUUUCAAAAGCUUUUGAUUCGCUAGAAUGGGACUUUAUGUAUGAAGCCCUUAUAAAAUUUGGUCUACCAAACUCUUUUAUUAAAUGGGUUAAAACAUUAUAUAAGAAUAUUAAAGGCUGCAUGCUAAAUAAUGGGUGGAUUUCAGAAACUUACAAUGUAUCUCGCGGGAUACGUCAAGGCUGUCCGUGCAGCUCUCUAAUUUUCACAAUAGCAGUAGAAAUUCUUGCAUGCAAAAAUAAGACAAGAUACUGGUAUUAAGGGAUUUCAAAUAAAAUUAGAUUCCAAAACACAUAGUCUGAAAAUCUCACAAUUAGCCGAUGACACAACUCUUUUUUUAAAAUGCAAG
rnacentral:lncRNA from 1 species